rnacentral:misc_RNA from 1 species
UACGGAGGGGACUAGCGUUGUUCGGAAUCAUUGGGUUUAAAGGGUCCGUAGGCGGGAUAAUAAGUCAGUGGUGAAAGUCUGCAGCUUAACUGUAGAACUGCCAUUGAUACUGUUGUCCUUGAGUAAUUAUGAAGUGGUUAGAAUAUGUAGUGUAGCGGUGAAAUGCAUAGAUAUUACAUAGAAUACCGAUUGCGAAGGCAGAUCACUAAUAAUUUACUGACGCUGAUGGACGAAAGCGUAGGUAGCGAACAGG